ACCAAUUCUGGGGAUAAAUCUGUUCCUACAGGUAUAAUGGCAUUGACGCAAGAUUGAUUAGGUUGUGGUAUAUCCUGAUCGUUUAACUUUUUCUAUGUUACUUGAUCCUGGAAAUGCCUCACACAUUU
rfam:Arabis alpina cultivar Pajares Aa.chr3_contig_2412, whole genome shotgun sequence.